AACCCUGCUCCCACCCUUUCCCCUAGUUGUGGUGAACGGAUAAGCGGAAGCAGGGCCGGCCGGACCGACCGGCGAGACAGCCGUAACCGGGGAGAUGGCCGCGGCGGAGACCUCGGGCACGGUGGCGGCGCCGGGGAGGUGGUCUCUCCAUGGCAAGAUGGCUCUGGUCACCGGAGGCACCCGCGGGAUUGGGCGUGCGGUGGUGGAGGAGCUGGCGGCGCUGGGGGCGGCCGUGCAUACCUGCUCCCGCAAUGAGGCGGAGCUAGGGGAGCGCCUCAAGGAGUGGGAGGCCAGGGGGUUCCGCGUCACCAUCUCCGUCUGCGACCUCUCCGCGCGGGACCAGCGGGAGCGCCUCAUCGGCGACGUCGCUGACCGCUUCGGCGGCAAGCUCGACAUCCUCGUAAACAAUGUGGGGACAAACAUAAGGAAACCUACUACUGAGUAUUCUGCAGACGAAUACUCAUUUUUGAUGGCUACAAAUCUUGAAUCUGCAUAUCAUUUGUGUCAACUUGGGCAUCCUCUUUUAAAAGCAUCUGGGUCGGGUAGCAUUGUUUUCAUAUCAUCAGUUGCUGGAAUUGUAGCCCUAUUUAGUGGAACUAUCUAUGCUAUGACUAAAGAUUUGUGUAGGUGCCAUGAAUCAAUUAACCAAGAACUUAGCAUGUGAAUGGGCAAAAGACAACAUAAGAACCAACUGUGUUGCCCCAGGGUACAUCUUAACUUCGCUUUCAGAAGGAAUUUUGGCAAACAAGGAGUUCGAGGGCUCUGUUAAGAGCCGGACUCCUCUUAGGCGUGUCGGAGAACCAGCAGAAAUCUCAUCGUUAGUUGCCUUCCUUUGUAUGCCUGGUUCAACUUACAUUACUGGUCAGACGAUCGCCGUCGAUGGAGGUAUGACUGUGAAUGGGCUUUACCCCAGUUGAGGAGGGAGUCAUGGAUGAUGGAUGUUCUUGCUGCCAGGAAACAGCGCGUCUGAUAUUCGUGGAGUUGGUUGUUAGAAACUAAAGAAAAGGUGAAAAACACUUGUGUGAAAGUGAGUCCAUCAUGGACGCGUGAUAUAUUUUUCCAUUGCACAAGCCCUUUCAGAACUAUGUGAUGGAGGCGUUGUUAGCUAGAUAUUGCGCAAAUACUUUGUGCCUCCGUCUUAAUUACCUUUCAUCUGUGAUUCAGUGAUGGUUAGUACCUUUCAUCUGUGAUCCA